rnacentral:lncRNA from 1 species
AGACUCGGGUUUUCAUUCAUCGCUGGCUGCUGGGAGCUUUCCGGUCCUACUGGAAGCGCACGGGCAUUUGUAACUGGAAGCUGUGUCAAUGAUCUCUGUAGAAAGCCGUUAUUAGUAAAGAGUUCGCUCCAUUAGCAACUCUUCUUCCGAGUCUGACAGCUUUCGUUUGCUCACUAAACUUGGUUACACCCAAAUUGUUAACUGUUUUUGUAACUCAGUGCUCCGCUCCUGUCUUCCAAUGAGCGUUAGUUUUCACCUGCAACGUGAUCAUAGCAACCCUGGGGCCCUGGUCCUACUCUCCAUAAAGAGUUGUGGCUGUGGGUCUUGAAUGAGACUCGAGGACACGUCACCCUUCCACUUCCUCAUCCAUAAAAUAGGGACCUAACUCGUCCCUGCCAACUCUGAAAUGCUGGGACUCGCCAACUCCCUUUUCUUGCCUGUUUCUCUCCUCUAGGCAGGGACUUCCAGGUUUCUCUUCUUGUACUAAAAACAGCACAGAAAGCACGAUUUUCUCACGCAAAACUGAGAACCAUGCAGUGGGGCACCACAGUCUUGAUUCCAUGAAGAUGAAUAGUUACCAUUUGGCAAGCACUAUGUGCCAGACAGUGUUCCAACUGUGGUAUAUUUAUUUAACCCUUAAAAACAAUCCCGGCCGGGCGCGGUGGCUCAUGCCUGUAAUCCCAACACUUUGGGAGGCCGAGGCGGGCGGAUCACCAGGUCAGGAGAUCCAGACCAUCCUGGCUAACACGGUGAAAUCCCGUCUCUACUAAAAAUACAAAAAAUUA